rnacentral:rRNA from 1 species
UUGACCUCGGAUCAGGUAGGGAUACCCGCUGAACUUAAGCAUAUCAAUAAGCGGAGGAAAAGAAACCAACAGGGAUUGCCCCAGUAACGGCGAGUGAAGCGGCAAGAGCUCAAAUUUGAAAGCUGGCCCCUUCGGGGUCCGCAUUGUAAUUUGCAGAGGAUGCUUCGGCAGCGGUCCCCGUCUAAGUACCCUGGAACGGGUCGUCAUAGAGGGUGAGAAUCCCGUAUGG